AAAUUCUGCAAACAACCUUGAAUUAACCUGGAAAUAGUUUUUUUUGUUGUUGUUGUUUUGUUUUUGUUUUUUUCCCUGUUAAGCUUCUAGAUGAGAACACAGUCCAACUGACUCUUAUUGCAGCCUUGUGAGAUUCUAAACAAAGGACCCAAACUGUGCUUGAACUCUGCCCAUGGUAAUUGUGAGAUGGAAACUUCGUUGUUUUAAACCUCUAACUUUGUAGUAAUUUGUUAUGCUGCAAUAGAUAACUAAAACAACAGCCAUGUUCAUUUGUUUACAUGUAGUCUGUAGCUACUUUUGAACAACAGAGUUGAGUAGUUGCAGCAGAGACCAUAUGGCCCACAAAGCCUAAAACCUGGCCCUUUAUAGAAAGAAAGGAUGCAGCGCCCUGCUUUGUACUGUGCUUUCUAAACUGGAGCAUCCCUAGAGGAAUAAGGUAGUUGGUAGGGAACACAAAAAGUCAUAAGAUGGACAUUGUAUAUAUUUCAAUAGCAUCACUUCUACUUUUUGUCAGAGGUAGAAGAAAUUACAUUUUCCGUCCUCUUUUGCAGCUACUGCAGCCGUGGAACUAAGUGUCGCAAAUGAAUUGUGAAUGGAAAUGAUCAUUCAUCUCCAGUUGUCUUCCCCUUUCUGUGACUGAAACCCAAAUUUGGAGCUGAGUCAGCUUUGAGCAGACAAGAAUGCUAAUGCUUUAAGAGCCACAGCUUGUUCUCGGCUCUCUCCCUGCAUGAAUCAACAGCAGUCCCAGGACAGGCAGAGACCAUCAGGAACUUACCCUUCACACAGAUCUCAGAGAGCACUGCCCAAGAUGCCAAGACAGAACCCUGGUAUUUUCUACUUGACACUCCACUCAGGGUAAUGGACAAGAUGGAGUUUGCAGAGGCGAGGAAAACACGUGUGCUCUAUGGGCGCCUCUCACACCACCUCUCUGAUCAUCGUCUUCAGCCCUUUUUUUGGAAGCUCCUCCUCUUCUCAUUCCUCAGAAUGCAAAGAUGAGCAGAAUAGACUGCCCUUCAGAGGCCUUGCAAUCGGGGGAAAAUGCCCAGCAAAUAUAGAAAUGGUCUCACUCUGUCAUCCAGGCUGGAGUACAGUGGCAUGAUCAUGACUC